AUGAACGCUAGCGGCAGGCUUAACACAUGCAAGUCGAGGGGCAUCGGGAGUAGCAAUACUGCCGGCGACCGGCGCAAGGGUGCGUAACGCGUGAGCAACAUGCCCGUAUCAGGGGGAUAAUCCAUGGAAACGUGGUCUAAUACCCCAUAGUAAUUAUGUAAGGCAUCUUAUAUAAUUUAAAGCUUUGGUGGAUACGGAUUGGCUCGCGUGACAUUAGCUAGAUGGUAAGGUAACGGCUUACCAUGGCUACGAUGUCUAGGGGUUCUGAGAGGAAGGCCCCCCACACUGGAACUGAGACACGGUCCAGACUCCUACGGGAGGCAGCAGUGAGGAAUACUGGACAAUGGAUGGAAAUCUGAUCCAGCCAUGCCGCGUGCAGGAAGAACCGGCCCUAUGGGUUGUAAACUGCUUUUGUAUGGGAGCAAUAAGGGCUACGCGUAGUCCGAUGAGAGUACCAUACGAAUAAGCACCGGCUAACUCCGUGCCAGCAGCAGC
rnacentral:rRNA from 1 species